rnacentral:rRNA from 7 species
UUAAAUUGAAGAGUUUGAUCAUGGCUCAGAUUGAACGCUGGCGGCAGGCCUAACACAUGCAAGUCGAACGGUAGC